rnacentral:rRNA from 1 species
UACGUAGGGCGCGAGCGUUGUCCGGAAUUAUUGGGCGUAAAGAGCUCGUAGGCGGUUUGUCGCGUCGAAUGUGAAAUCCCGGGGCUCAACCCCGGGCCUGCAUUCGAUACGGGCAGACUAGAGUUCGGUAGGGGAGUCUGGAAUUCCUGGUGUAGCGGUGAAAUGCGCAGAUAUCAGGAGGAACACCAACGGCGAAGGCAGCACUCUGGGCCGGUACUGACGCUGAGGAGCGAAAGCGUGGGGAGCAAACAGG